GUCACUGCAGCGGCCUAGUGAACGUGUGCUGUGCUGUGAUGCUGUGAUGACGUGCUCCCUUCUGGUCUGAAGGAGGGUGUUGACGGGUUAAAAUCACGUCGGAAGAGAGGACUGAAGGCAGAUGAACGUCAGAAAACUUUAUUAUUCAGCUGCCUUGUCAGCGCAGUCUACGUGCUGUGGCGGGGAGACCCCAGCGUGAGGUGACACGUUCCGGGCGCAUGCACUGAUAAACCCAGGACAACCGCCAGCUUUCCACACAAGCAUAAAAACCCAGAAUCACACACUCUGCACAGCCUGACUCAGAGCUCUGUGUGCAGCCAUGGCUGGAUGGGUGCUCUGUGAACCCAUCCCUUUCCUCACCCCAGAGCCUCUACCGCUGCCUAUAGCCAAGACAUCAAAGUAAUCAACCUCACCUGACCGGCCACACCUCUCAGCUGAACGGGACCAGCACCAUUUUAUUUUAGCCCUGAAAACAACAUUCUGUGCUUGAAUUAUAAUGGCCCUAAUUCAGAGAUCAAAGUUAAUUGCAGCAAAUUACAUGUCCUUUGAUUAGCAAGGCUCUGCCUAUUCUAGAGGUUAAAACUGAACAAAGUUAUUAAUUGAAAAGUUAAUUUCAAAGGCUAUACCAUAAAACAA